rnacentral:rRNA from 1 species
AGUGAACGCUGGCGGUAGGCCUAACACAUGCAAGUCGAACGGCAGCACAGGAGAGCUUGCUCUCUGGGUGGCGAGUGGCGGACGGGUGAGGAAUACAUCGGAAUCUACUCUGUCGUGGGGGAUAACGUAGGGAAACUUACGCUAAUACCGCAUACGACCUACGGGUGAAAGCAGGGGACCUUCCGGCCUUGCGCGAUUGAAUGAGCCGAUGUCGGAUUAGCUAGUUGGCGGGGUAAAGGCCCACCAAGGGGACGAUCCGUAGCUGGUCUGAGAGGAGGAUCAGCCACACUGGAACUGAGACACGGUCCAGACUCCUACGGGAGGCAGCAGUGGGGAAUAUUGGACAAUGGGCGCAAGCCUGAUCCAGCCAUACCGCGUGGGUGAAGAAGGCCUUCGGGUUGUAAAGCCCUUUUGUUGGGAAAGAAAUCCAGCUGGCUAAUACCCGGUUGGGAUGACGGUACCCAAAGAAUAAGCACCGGCUAACUUCGUGCCAGCAGCCGCCGCAG